rnacentral:rRNA from 1 species
GUCCACGCCCUAAACGAUGCUUACUCGACGUAUGGCACUUAGUUGUUGUGCGUCCAAGGGAAACCGUUAAGUAAGCCACCUGGGGAGUACGACCGCAAGGUUGAAACUCAAAGGAAUUGACGGGGGUCCGCACAACCGGUGGAGCAUGUGGUUUAAUUCGAUGAUACGCGAGGAACCUUACCUGGGCUAGAAUGCGAGUGACGUCCCGGGAAACCGGGAUUCCCUUCGGGGCACAAAGCAAGGUGCUGCAUGGCUGUCGU